rnacentral:rRNA from 1 species
AUUGAACGCUGGCGGCAGGCUUAACACAUGCAAGUCGAGCGGAGAGAGGUAGCUUGCUACUGAUCUUAGCGGCGGACGGGUGAGUAAUGCUUAGGAAUCUGCCUAUUAGUGGGGGACAACAUUUCGAAAGGAAUGCUAAUACCGCAUACGUCCUACGGGAGAAAGCAGGGGAUCUUCGGACCUUGCGCUAAUAGAUGAGCCUAAGUCGGAUUAGCUAGUUGGUGGGGUAAAGGCCUACCAAGGCGACGAUCUGCAGCGGGUCUGAGAGGAUGAUCAGCCACACUGGGACUGAGACACGGCCCAGACUCCUACGGGAGGCAGCAGUGGGGAAUAUUGGACAAUGGGCGGAAGCCUGAUCCAGCCAUGCCGCGUGUGUGAAGAAGGCCUUAUGGUUGUAAAGCACUUUAAGCGAGGAGGAGGCUACUCUAGUUAAUACCUAGAGAUAGUGGACGUUACUCGCAGAAUAAGCACCGGCUAACUCUGUGCCAGCCGCCGCAGUAACAC